UUCUUAACAGUGUUUUUGGGUUAUUCUCGAUCAAUAUUCCUCCUAUGACUUGCUAAAGGCACCACCAAGAGGAAAGAAGCACAUGGAAGACUUGCCAGCAAAUAGAUCCUGUUGAGGACAAAUUGAGUGUUACAUGGACACUUAAGAACGUCAAGGCAAAUAGAGGAAGAAAUCAAGAAGUACCAGGGAGCGAAUGCUGAUGUCGCAAUAGGCCUCUUAAAACUCUCAUUGCCUUCUCUCAACCUCACCCAGGCCCCAUCAUGAAGUUGUGAGAUCUACCGAUACUGCACCUAUUACAAACUAAAACAACA